CCUACGGGUGGCAGCAGUGGGGAAUAUUGGACAAUGGGCGAAAGCCUGAUCCAGCCAUGCCGCGUGUGUGAAGAAGGCCUUCGGGUUGUAAAGCACUUUCAGUGGGGAAGAAAGCCUUGGGGCUAAUACCCUCGAGGAAGGACAUCACCCACAGAAGAAGCACCGGCUAACUCCGUGCCAGCAGCCGCGGUAAUACGGAGGGUGCGAGCGUUAAUCGGAAUUACUGGGCGUAAAGCGCGCGUAGGCGGUCUGAUAAGCCGGUUGUGAAAGCCCCGGGCUCAACCUGGGAACGGCAUCCGGAACUGUCAGGCUAGAGUGCAGGAGAGGAAGGUAGAAUUCCCGGUGUAGCGGUGAAAUGCGUAGAGAUCGGGAGGAAUACCAGUGGCGAAGGCGGCCUUCUGGACUGACACUGACGCUGAGGUGCGAAAGCGUGGGUAGCAAACAGGAUUAGAUACCCUUGUAGC
rnacentral:rRNA from 1 species